CCCGCCACGCCUCUCAACGAUGCGCACCAGGCGGGU
rfam:Gallionellales bacterium RIFCSPLOWO2_02_FTLL_57_47 rifcsplowo2_02_scaffold_8167, whole genome shotgun sequence.